GUUUCACCACGUUGGCUAGACUGGUCUCCAACUCCUGACCUCAUGAUCCUCCCCACAAGGCCUCCGAAAGUGCUGGGAUUACAGGCGAGAGCCACUGCACCCGGCCUCUGAAGUUAUUUUCCUGGAUCAUUAUGUGAUGUCAUAGGAUCUAAGAGAGGGAGUUUCACCAUGUUCUCCAGUUUCAUGAUGUUCCCCAGGAUGGUACUGAAUUUCUAAGCUCAAGCAAUUCACCUGCUUUGGCCUCUGAAAGUGCUGAGAUUACAGGUGUGAGCCAUUGUGCCUGGCCAAUAAUUGGUAGACUUUUCUUUUUUUAUUUUCACAUUUUUA
rnacentral:lncRNA from 1 species